rnacentral:rRNA from 1 species
GGCUUUGAAUUGUAUUGUGGAAAUGUAUUACCAACAGAGGUGCAGGUGCCAGCCUAUUGAAAUAAAGCGUCAAUGAGGGUGAGAAUCCUGUUUGUCAUGUGCAGCCCUUUGUGCACGGUGUAUAUUUGCUGAGUCACACUCCUUGGCAUUGGAAUGCAAAGUGGGUGGUAAGUUUCAUGUAAAGGUAAACAUGCAAUUGAGACUGAUAGCACACAAGUACCAUGAGGGAAAUAUGAAAAGGACUUUGAAAAGAGAAUUAAAUGAGUUUGUAUUUGCUGAACACAAAGUAAACAGACUUGAUUUGCUUGGUGGGAGUGUUGCACUUGCUUGACAAGAGCUUUGGGCUGUGGGUGUAAUGAUUCUUUCUUUGCAUGCCAGUUUCUAUUUGUACAUCUGAUUACCUUUGCACAUGAAUGAUAAGUCUCCUGUGGGGGGUGGAUUGCAUGUGCAUGUAAUGAUUUGUGUUUUGAUAAAUGUGUCUGGUGUAUGUGUGUGUUCCUGUGCUUGGGGAUGCUUCCUUCCUUGGACUUACAAGCCCUGACACACACAUGCUGGCAAAAUGCUUCUGCUUGACCCGUCUUGAAACACGGACCAAGGAGUCUAACAGAUGUGCAAAGUUUGAAGGUGGUAUACCUUUGUGUGCAAUGAAAGUGUCAGCUGGGAUAUGUGCACCAGCACCCAAUUAAUUAGCGGACAGAGGUUUGAGUUGGAGCAUAUCUAUUAGGACCCGAAAGAUGGUGAACUAUGCCUGAACAGAAUGAAUUCAGAGGAAACUCUGAUGGAGGUUCGUAUCGAUACUGACGUGCAAAUCGUUCGUCAUAUUUGGGUAUAGGGGCGAAAGACUAAUCGAACCAUCUAGUAGCUGGUUCCCUCCGAAGUUUCCCUCAGGAUAGCUGGAGUUGCUCAGUUUUAUCAGGUAAAGCGAAUGAUUAGAGGAAUUGGGGACAGGUUUGUCUUUGACCUAUUCUCAAACUUUAAAUGGGUAAUAUGUAGUGGUUGCUGUA